GAUCCUGGCUCAGGAUGAACGCUAGCUACAGGCUUAACACAUGCAAGUCGAGGGGCAGCAUGGUCUUAGCUUGCUAAGACCGAUGGCGACCGGCGCACGGGUGAGUAACGCGUAUCCAACCUGCCCAUCACUUGGGAAUAACCUUGCGAAAGUAAGACUAAUGCCCAAUGAUAUCCCACGAAGGCAUCCGAAUGGGAUUAAAGAUUCAUCGGUAACGGAUGGGGAUGCGUUCCA
rnacentral:rRNA from 1 species